rnacentral:rRNA from 1 species
UACGGAGGGGGCUAGCGUUGUUCGGAAUUACUGGGCGUAAAGCGCACGUAGGCGGCUUUGUAAGUUAGAGGUGAAAGCCCGGGGCUCAACCCCGGAAUUGCCUUUAAGACUGCAUCGCUUGAAUUGUGGAGAGGUGAGUGGAAUUCCGAGUGUAGAGGUGAAAUUCGUAGAUAUUCGGAGGAACACCAGUGGCGAAGGCGGCUCACUGGUCCAUUACUGACGCUGAGGUGCGAAAAGCGUGGGGAGCAAACAGG